rnacentral:rRNA from 1 species
UACGUAGGGACCAAGCGUUGUUCGGAUUUACUGGGCGUAAAGGGCGCGUAGGCGGCAUGACAAGUCACUUGUGAAAUCUCCGGGCUUAACUCGGAACGGCCAAGUGAUACUGUCAAGCUAGAGUGCAGAAAGGGCAAUCGGAAUUCCUGGUGUAGCGGUGAAAUGCGCAGAUAUCAGGAGGAACACCGGUGGCGAAGGCGGGUCUCUGGGCCGAAACUGACGCUGAGGAGCGAAAGCGUGGGGAGCGAACAGG